UCUGGGCAGAGAAUUGACAAAGGGCGUGGCAAAAGUAACGAAGAAGAAAAACGAACCAAUAGGAGCUCAGAUGUUUGUGUUUUUGAAUGAGACGCGGUUGAUGGCAGCUGAAACGACAGUCGUUCGGUGCAUAUAUUUGGGCUUUUAUCUGCGUUGAAGGUAGAUUAAUAACCUUUCAAAGUUUUAAAGGUCUGUCCUCCUUUUCAAAGUAAUGUUCUCCAGGAAGUUAAGUUCCAGUUGGGAAGUCCAGGUAAGACUUGAACUUUUCUACUUAGAAGGAAAGUUUAAAAAAAAAAAAAAAAAGCAGAGUAACAAUAUUUUCAUUAACCUUUGUUCACACCAGCCCUCCAGUGGACAAGGAGAGCGCACACCCCUUCGAAGCCUGGACAAUGAAAUCCUACGUUUUUCAACUCCAUCAUCUGAACUCAAGACAAGUUGGAAACUCUCGUCUGAAACUGCAAAAGCAACAAUGGGGAGCUUUUCGCCAGAAUUUCACUUGAAUUCCCCUGCAUUCACAAAAACGACACAAGGCAGUCCUCCUCAUGUUGAAUGUGGACCUGAAGAUGUCACAUUCAAAUCCUUUAUGUGUGCUGGCGGUGAGGUUGAGAUUCCAGAGUCUUCGAUUUGUCACCAGGCGAGCAUUAUUUUGCCUACAGUUGCUGACACUUGCUGUAGUGCUGCUGGAUGAACUGGGGAUCACACCCAGAACAUGAAGCAGUCUGUGCUGCUUGAUGACCAGAAACAACUGCCAAACUGUAACAAAACGUGACCGUCCUGAACAUUGGCUCCCCAAGACUCUCUGAAACUCCCAUUCACGAGUGUGACAGACUUCCGAACACAGGAAGUGAAGAUCAUCAUGUAACUUUGAAAUCCUUUAACUGCCAUGGAGGUGAGGUGGAAAUUUCAGAUGCCACCAGGUUACACGAUGAGACCAUUCCACUGCCCUCAGAGCUAGGUUCAUUAAAAGACCACAGUACAACAAUCACUCACUUCUCUAUUUGUACCCAUUUUUGCCAAGAAGAACAUGCUGAUCACCCAUACUGUAUAAAAGAAGAUUAUCCACUCACCACAAGCUUUUCUGAAACCACUGGUGCUUCUCCUGAACAGCCCGGAAGCAAAGAGUUACCUUCGAAAAUGUUUACCUGUGGUGAAGAUGAGAUUCAAAUCUCAGAAGAUGAGAAGAAUAUUGUCCAUUUGCCAGCAGUUACCAGUAACAAAUCCUCUAAUGGUGAUAUGGAUCCAAGCGUUUUGGCUGCAGAACACUAUUCGCAAAGGGAUUAUCUAGACUGCUGUGCUCCAAAGGAUUCCUCAUCUCAACAUGAACAGAUCUUCUCCAACCUGGAAAUACUGUGCAGUUCUGGAACCUUUGGAGACAAAGAUCUGGAUCGGACGGUCCCUAACGUCCAAGGAGACCCGAAUGAAGCUGGAACAUCACAGCUGGAAAAGCAGCUGACGACUCGUCUAGUUUACCUAAACAUAAUCAAAUUGAAAAGGAGGUGGCAGACGAUGAUAGAGAU
rnacentral:lncRNA from 1 species